UGGGCUGCAGAUGAUGUGGUGGUGGUUUCAACAGCCUGAACGGGAACUAACUCAUUUCUAACUGGUGGGGUUGGAACUAAUGCAUGAUUUUGGACAUCGGACGCUGUUGACGAGAGUUUAUUACCUUGAAAUAUUUUCAUCCCCCAUGCCGUGUUUUUCUUUGUUGAGGAUGACUGGUGGGAGUCAUGUUCAGGAGCAGUUGGAUCGAAGAUAUUUAAUAUUUCCUCAUCGCUGUUGGAAAUUUCAGGCACUACAUCCGAAGGGUUCAUUUUAAAAUUACCAAACGUGUCCUCUGCAGUUGUGUAUUCCAUAGCGGCAAGAUCAAAGCAGACGAUCAAAGAGUCAAAGACCCGGAUAUACUAUGUUUAUUGCACUAUUUAAUAUUUGACAAGUAAAAGCAUGAGAUGUUUUGUUUAUUUAUUUAACUAAAUCGAUAAAUUAUACACUGUACAUGUUUUUAAAAGGUUUUAAUUUCCUUUGUUUUGUCUACGAUGUUUAUGAUAUAUAAAUAGACUGCGGAUUUCCCCUUGAUGUAAAGCCAUAUCACUUUGAAGUAUUACUACGCCGAUCUUUCCGGUUUAAGAAGAGUUAUCUUUCUUUGUACAUAGAGGCUUAUGCAGAUAAAUAAUAAAAAUUAAACAUC